GUCAGGAUGGCCGAGCGGUCUAAGGCGCCAGACUCAAGAUACAUGUUAUCUUAACCAGAACGUCGAGUAUUCUGGUCCACGAAUGUGGGCGUGGGUUCGAAUCCCACUUCUGACA
rnacentral:tRNA from 1 species